rnacentral:misc_RNA from 1 species
CAGAGUUUGUGCCCUUACGGGUAGAUCUCCCACCCUGUGUUAUCGUCACCUUUGUUGCUUUGGCGGGCCGCCAGGCCUUGGCCAGGCUACCGGCUUCGGAGGACCCUCAACCCUUGAAUAUCAGUGUCGUCUGACUACUAUAUAAUAGUU